CCAUGGGAUGCUGAGUGGACUGCUGAAUUACACAUGGCGUAAAAGUUCUUGGCCUAAGUUGUGAUCUUGGGAGCAUAAUUGAAGACCUGCUGGUGAAGAUUCUCACACUUGUUGGUUGUGGUCAGUUGGCAUACCUUCUCUCCGGAAUUGUUUACAGAUGACAGACUGAAUACUGUCCAUGUCGGCAUAGUCCAGGUCCAGAUGUUUUCCGUACAGAAGGAACUUAGUGCUGUAGCCCAGAAGAUGGACUGUGCAGGGUUCUUAGCUGAAUGAAGCAGUGGUAGUGCUGAAUUGGUACUUCAUUCUCUCUGGAAUAGUCCCUUAUGGUCUUUUGGAUCUGAACACUGGCAUCACUGGUAAUGGAACGAGGUUGAACAUAACUUAUUGGCAGUUUGGAGGACCAAGACCAGUUUUUGGGAGGUGUUGUUUUCCACCACCGGACAGAAUCCUGCGUGCGGCCUGUUGUUGUAAGAGGUGUCGGUCUCGAUGUGGACUUCGUUUCCUAGACCGAGAAGUUGGUUGACACGCUGGACAUACCGCUGAUUGUCGAUCAUCGAUGCUACAUUGAUUUCCUCCACUCUGUCACACAUUUGAUUGAGUUUCCGCUGCAUACCAUGGCUGUCAGGUGGAUUUGUGUUGAGGCAGCACAUCAGGAAUCGUGCAUUAGACAUUCCCAUCUUAGACUUGGUGAGGGCCAGUACCAGUCCGUCAUCGAGGGCACCAGAUUCUGAUCUUCGUGUCUUGACAGUUGUGUAGAGCUGCAUGUCUGGCUUGGCAGGUUACAGUUUGGUUGGGAGGAUGAGAUCUUCACUGGACAUGCACACAGCAUCCCAGUAUUCGUCAAGACUUGGACAGUCCCACUCUGUGUUUUGGUCACUUGUACUCGAACCAGCAGGUCCAUCUGUAUCGGAGGGCACCAGCUCGGACUUAAGAAUGUUGAGGGAAAUAGGUUGUAAAAGAAGAUGGACAGAUGAAGAGGAAGAUGAACUGUUGGAAGCCUUUGCGAUGCAGAUUUAAAAAAAUCUAAUGUGUCCACAAAGCAAUUUGAUAUGCACAGAUAAAAUAUAAAACAUUACGUGGCCAGCCAGAAGCAGUAAUAAGAUCCAAAAUGAACAGCAUCAUUUUAGGAAAAGUUCGAAAAACAAGGAUAAACUUCAAAUGGAGACUUUUACAGGAUUAUGAGAAUUAUUUCGUCUAUGCUAAGGUGAAGUUUCCUGAUCAACAUUUUCGUAAAUAUAAAAAUAGAGAAAGAAAGGAAGAAAGAGCACAUAAAACAAAGGGGGCAUGGAACACAAUCUUAGGUUUACAAAAGACUUUUUUAAUACACUAAUACAAUCAUAAUUUAUCAUAAAUAUUUUCCCAGUAUCUCUCAAACUCCCUAUACCUGCAGUUUUUCAACAACAAAAGUUUUUCAACUGUAAUUAUAUCAAUGAUAUUUUUUGGGGAUGCAUCUAUACUUAAUUUACUUAUACUUGAGAAUUCACGGAAAUGAAUAUAUUGCUUUAUCAUCAGAAUUAUCAAAUUUUUCACCUUGUGUAUAUUCUUAUUAGCAAAUUUUCCAAAAAGAAUUGCCUGUCUAUCAAAACUAAUAUGCCUGUCCAGUUUUUUGCAAAGCCAUUCUUCAAUUCCAUACCAGAUCUCUUUCACACAUGGCUAUUCUACAAAUAUGUGAUCAUUAGUUUUAAAAUCCCUCUUGCAAAAUGUGCAAAUUGGGGAAUCAACAAUUCUAUAAAGUUUAUGUAAAUAAUAGUUAUAUGGAAAUAUUCUGUGCAAGAUUUGAAACUGUAUCCAUUGCAAUUUAGAUUCUUGAGUUGUUUUAAAAGGAAGUUCAAUUAUAUUUUUCCAUUCUAGCUCUGAAGAACCUUCUUCUGUUUCUUCCCAUGUUGAUAUAGAUUUAAUUUUGGUUGCUUUAUGGCUUAUCAAUUGCUUAUACAUAUUUUACAACCCUUUUUAUCUUUGAAAUAUAUUGAAAUAGUAGAGGGAAUAAUCUAUACAAAAGUGGUUCUGUAGUCCUUGUAUUGUCUUGUAUAAUGACUUGUCUUUGUUGGAUUGCUUUCUUUAGUGCUGCAUAUUGUACAAAAUUCAUUUUAACUUUCAAAACAUUUUGUAUAUAAUCAAGUUACUGUUUUCAUGAAGUAGAUCAUAAAUGAAUACAAUCUCUAAAUCAUGCAGACUUCUAAACAAUACUGAUAUUCCACCAAUAGUAAUAUUUGGAUUAUAACAAAUAUGUUCACAAUAAAAAAUCUGGGUUGAUUUUAUCUUUUGCAGAAUUUAUAUUUGACCAGCUCUGAAACACAUCUAUCCAAAAAUUGUUUGUUAUUUUUACUCUUAAAUUAUUGAUAUAAUCUAUUCCAAAUACCUAUACAAGUCAUUAGUUCUGCCCCAGUAGUUUUCUCCAUUUUGCAUUUGAAUGUAGAAUACGUCAAAUCCAUGUAGCUUUAAGAGCAGUGAUAAAUUCUUUAUAGUCAACCAUUUUAAUACCCCCAUCAGCAUAUUCUUGAAUUAUGACAUUUUUCUUUACUUUAUGAGUUUUGUUAUUCCAAAGAAAGUUAUAUAAAUCACUUUCAAAAUCACAAAUGGUUUCUUCUUUAGGAUUUGGAAUUGUAAGUAUCAAAUGAUUUAAUUUUGGUAUCAGUAAUGUCUUUAUUACUGUUAACCUUCCUAAAGGAGUAAGUCUUCUAUUAUUCCAAUGCAUCAUAACUUUAUUUACUUCCUUUAAUUUAGUCUUAUAAUUCAAUUCUACCAUUUCUUGUAAAUUAAUACAAAAUUUUAUUCCUAAUAAAUCAAAUGUUCUAUUGUUGCAAUCAAAUUUCCACCUUGCAUGAUGGAAAAUGUUCUUUGAAAAUUUUUUGCUACCUAUCCAAAUCAUUUUUGUCUUUAAAAAUUUCAUCUUUAGACCUAAAAUUAUUGCAAAGUAAUCUAGGACUAUUAAUGCCACCCAUGGAAGUGGGAGACCCAUCUAAAAUAAUUAAGGCGUCAUCUGCAUAUUGAGAUAUCUGAUAUUCUUCCCCAUCAAUAGUAAUGCCUUUAAUAUCUUUGUUUUUGCGUAUUAGAAUACCAAAUAUUUCAACACAUAAAAGAAAUAAGUAAGGAAGAUAUAGGAUCGCCCUGCCUACAGUCCCGUUCUGGACUGAAGUAUUGUUACACAAUUCCAUUUUGAAUGACACAUAAAAUAAUUAUAUCCAGUUUUGAAUAGAAAUACCAAAAAUUUAAAAAAUAAUGUUUCUUGAAUAAAUUUCCAGGAGACCGUAUCGAAAGCCUUUUCAAAAUUGAUAAGCAUCAGAAGCCCCAGUAUUUGUUGGAUUCUGUAUAAUGCAUGAUAUCAUAAAUUAAUCUUAUAUACUCACCAAUAUCUCUACCUUUAAUAAAUCCAGUUUGAUGUGUAUGUAUUAAUAUAUUAGAUUUUUAAUCCAGCCAUUAUUAUCGAACAUUUAUUACGCUAUACUGCUUUCUGUGCCACCUAUCUUUAUAUUUUCUAGUUACGUUUUGCGGGCUGUCAGCAAAAUAUAUUUGCUGUUUUUGUUUUUAUUUGAGAAAUGAUUUGAUUGAGGUGCAGUGAAUGCUUAUUUUUUUCUGCAGUUUGAUAGUAGAGCAGAAAAAUAUUGUAUUAACGGAUCUGUGUCAAUAUUUUCUGUAUACAUGUAUGUUUGUCAAGCUUGAAUGAACGAGCCAAUCAGUUCAUUGUGCAUAAAUGGUUCGGUGGGUAGUAUCGAACGUGGUCAUUCUCUAGCCGUCAACCAAGACGAACACAUGUUGAAACUUCAAAAUAUAAUUGAUAUUUUGCAUAUAUAUUAUCUCGCCCAGUUUCAGAGAUUUUUCCCAUGGGGUUUUAACUCUGUUUUCCCCUGGGUUUGAUACUUUAUAAGGGCUAUGUUCAUUAAAUAUAAAAUCGUUGAUUGUCCAUUUUCCUCUUGUUUGAAGAGAUGUAAUUCUUUAGAUGUGAUAUAGGUAACAAGAAUGUUACAUAAGUAUUCAUGUACUCUGGUAUUAUGUGUUUUAUACGUGUACCUUUUGUAGGUGUGCAUGUGUUGUGGCUAAUUUCGUGUUUUUAUGCAGUGUAAACAUUUUCGGGUUUAUUAAGUAUUUAUCAGACAGGGAAAAAAUCCUUUGCGUUGGAAUUUGUGUACCCUCUUCAGUUAUUCUACUGUUAAAAAUCUUGAAAAUAUUUCUCCUUUUACAUUAUAUAACCUUAAGAUUUGGUGAAAUACUUCAGCAUCAUUUUUAAAGAUAUGAGAAUCUCAUUGUUUUUUGUUUUUUUUACAAGAGGAUUAUAGAAUUAAAUAACUUGUGAACACAUCAAUGAUACGUUUUAAAAUAUUGAAUCCCAGGGGGGGGG